rnacentral:rRNA from 1 species
AAAGGAAUAGACGGGGGCCCGCACAAGCGGAGGAACAUGUGGUUUAAUUCGAUGAUACGCGAGGAACCUUACCCGGGCUCGAACGGCAGAGGAAUAUACAAGAGAUUGUAUAGCCGCAAGGUCUCUGUCGAGGUGCUGCAUGGUUGUCGUCAGCUCGUGCCGUGAGGUGUCGGCUUAAGUGCCAUAACGAGCGCAACCCUUGUCGUCAGUUGCCAUCAAGUAAAGUUGGGGACUCUGGCGAGACUGCCACCGUAAGGUGUGAGGAAGGGGGGGAUGACGUCAAAUCAGCACGGCCCUUACGUCCGGGGCGACACACGUGUUACAAUGGGUGGUACAGAGGGUAGCUACACAGUGAUGUGAUGCCAAUCUCCAAAACCAUUCUCAGUUCGGAUUGGAGUCUGCAACCCGACUCCAUGAAGUUGGAUUCGCUAGUAAUCGCGCAUCAGCCAUGGCGCGGUGAAUACGUUCCCGGGCCUUGUACACACCGCCCGU